CCGCUGGUGUAUACUGCUGACAGGGCGCAAAGAAUUGAAAGUGUAAUACGUGUUUACUGGAAGUGGUGCUGCCCUGACUAUAGGCAGUCAGCACAGAGGUAAGUAUCAAAAGACCCCUCACCUAAGAUGGCGUUUUUUCACUUCCACCCGCAAAAUGAAGGACAGCACUACUCUAUGCAACUCAGGCAAGUUAAACAAUUUUACAGCAUAUAUACACAGUAACAAAAAAAGGUUUGAAGGUUUCCAACAACUAGACCCAUACAGCACACUGAAAAUGUGCACCUUUCCAGUGUGUUAGUGCCUCAAAAGUGGCAAAACCCAUUAACCCCUUUUCCUUCUUUCCAGAAACCUCUCUGCUGCAGGACAUUAAAUUACACGCAACAGGCUACAGGUUCCAUGCCCCAUCGGAAUGAGGUGUGAGGAAUGUAAAGCUCAGCAACUACACAAUUUACAGCGAGGACUACAUCAUGACUGCUUUCAUUUUUCAAGAGCACCGAUAACUGUGACCAUCAACAAGAGCUACUGUAACUGUACGAAAUGACUCAAAUGUGAAAUGCCUUCUACAAUCAGCUUCUGACCCGCAGGAAUAAUCUGCAGCUUCUUCCCCAGCAGCCUAACAUCGCUUAUCUUGCCAUAACGCAUAUAGAUUUUUUCUCUUAAAAGGCAGUGAUAGGCAUCAAAAGAGAAGUGAGACUCAUCUGAAGCCAUACCACCUUGCUUUACUACUGCAUUUAACAAGGUUUGCAGCUUCUGUAAAUAUUCUGAGGGUUUAUCUGCGCUAUCUUGAUGGGAAUUGAGAAACUUUGCAAAUAGUUUGUGUCCAUCUUCAACUGUCCCAAAGGCUGAAUCUAACAGAUAAAUAAGCUCAGACAGUAGUUGCCUGGGGGCAAAAAGCUCUCUAACAUAAGCCUCACUUUGUAUACAUUAACUACACUGGAGUCCUGAAUAGAAAGCUCCACGUAAGUGUGCCAUGUUUCAUAAUCAACUUCAUGUUGUGGAGUGGGAUGUCGGCCUGAAAAAGUCUGGAAGUAUGGAAGUGAGAGGCCACCUCUCUGCCUUUAACAAUGUGCUCCACCACAACCCUCUGAACUUCAGGGGGGUUGUAACUGUUUUCAUCUAGUUUUAACUGGGAACGAUGCUCAGCAAUAGUAGGGUUACAAUCUACUGCUGGUGAAGGAUCAGCUCCCUCAGAAUAAAUAUUCUUUGCCCCGCUAACUUGACACUUAUGGUUACAAGUUAGCAAGAGAUAUACCAGUCUUUUUUUCUCUCCCUGGUAAUUUGUAACCAUUGUAAAUGUUCCAACAUCAUCACUAGUAACCAAAGAGAGCACUUCGAAUUACACUUCAGGCAUGAAAAAAACUCACGUUUAAAUUUCCAGAGAGUAAUGUCUUCGGGAUGCAGAUAAAUAAUGAAUCAGUUUACUUUUAUGAAUUU